rnacentral:rRNA from 1 species
UACGUAGGGUGCGAGCGUUAAUCGGAAUUACUGGGCGUAAAGCGUGCGCAGGCGGUUCGUUGUGUCCGAUGUGAAAGCCCCGGGCUCAACCUGGGAAUGGCAUUGGAAACUGGCGAGCUAGAGUGUGGCAGAGGGGGGUGGAAUUCCGCGUGUAGCAGUGAAAUGCGUAGAGAUGCGGAGGAACACCGAUGGCGAAGGCAGCCCCCUGGGCUGACACUGACGCUCAGGCACGAAAGCGUGGGGAGCAAACAGG